GAUGAACGCUGGCGGCGUGCCUAAUACAUGCAAGUCGAGCGAACAGACGAGGAGCUUGCUCCUCUGACGUUGACGGCGGAAGUAUGAGGAACACGUGCAUCACCUACCUAUGAGACUGGGAUAACUUCGUGAAACCGGUGCUAAUACCGGAUAAUAUAUUCAUCCGCAUGGUUCGAUAGUGAAAGACGGUUUUGCUGUCACUUAUACAUGUAUCCGCGCCGCAUUAGCUAGUUGGUAAGGUAACGGCUUACGAAAGCAACGAUGCGUAGCCGACCUGAGAGCGUGAUCGGCCCCACAGGAACUGAGACACGAUCUAGACACCGAGGGGAGGCAGCAGUAGGGAAUCUUCCGCAAUGGGCGGAAGCUUGACGGAGCAGCGCCGGGUGAGUGCUGCAGGUCUGCGGGUCGUAAAACUCUGUUAUGGGGGAAGAACAAAUGUGGAAGUAACUAUGCUCGUCUUGACGGUACCUAAACAGAAAGCAACGGCUAACUACGUG
rnacentral:rRNA from 1 species